GAAGGUGGCAAGCGUUGUUCGGAAUCACUGGGCUUAAAGGGCACGUAGGCGGAGCAGUAAGCGCUUUGUGAAAGCCCCCGGCUUAACCGGGGAAAUGCUUGGCGAACUGCCAUUCUUGAGGCAAGUAGGGGUACAUGGAACUCUUGGUGGAGCGGUGGAAUGCGUAGAUAUCAAGAGGAACGCCAAUGGUGAAGACAGUGUACUGGGCUUGUCCUGACGCUGAGGCGCGAAAGCGUGGGGAGCGAACGGGGGAUUAGACACCCCGGUAGUCCACGCCGUAAACGAUGUCUACUAGGUUGUGGGGGUUCUGACACUGUCACAGCCGAAGCAAAAGUGUUAAGUAGACCGCCUGGGGGAGUACGGUCGCAAGGCUA
rnacentral:rRNA from 1 species